AUCCAAAGGCAACCCUUCGUGCAGUGCUC
rnacentral:piRNA from 1 species